rnacentral:rRNA from 1 species
GGACGAACGCUGGCGGCGUGCCUAAUACAUGCAAGUCGAACGCACUGACGUCGACAGAAGGUGCUUGCACUGGAAGUUGAUUGACGUGAGUGGCGGACGGGUGAGUAACACGUGGGUAACCUGCCCUUAAGCGGGGGAUAACAUUUGGAAACAGAUGCUAAUACCGCAUAAAAGUUGAGAUCACAUGGUCUUAAUUUGAAAGACGGCCUUUGGCUGUCACUUAAGGAUGGACCCGCGGCGUAUUAGCUAGUUGGUGAGAUAAUAGCCCACCAAGGCGAUGAUACGUAGCCGACCUGAGAGGGUAACCGGCCACAUUGGGACUGAGACACGGCCCAAACUCCUACGGGAGGCAGCAGUAGGGAAUCUUCCACAAUGGACGAAAGUCUGAUGGAGCAACGCCGCGUGAGUGAAGAAGGUUUUCGGAUCGUAAAACUCUGUUGUUGGAGAAGAACAGGGACUAGAGUAACUGUUAGUCCUUUGACGGUAUCCAACCAGAAAGCCACGGCUAACUACGUGCCAGCAGCCGCGGUAAUACGUAGGUGGCAAGCGUUGUCCGGAUUUAUUGGGCGUAAAGCGAGCGCAGGCGGUUUCUUAAGUCUGAUGUGAAAGCCUUCGGCUUAACCGAAGAAGUGCAUCAGAUACUGGGAAACUUGAGUGCAGAAGAGGAAAGUGGAACUCCAUGUGUAGCGGUGAAAUGCGUAGAUAUAUGGAAGAACACCAGUGGCGAAGGCGGCUUUUUGGUCUGUAACUGACGCUGAGGCUUGAAAGUAUGGGGAGCGAACAGGAUUAGAUACCCUGGUAGUCCAUACCGUAAACGAUGAAUGCUAAGUGUUGGAGGGUUUCCGCCCUUCAGUGCUGCAGCUAACGCAUUAAGCAUUCCGCCUGGGGAGUACGACCGCAAGGUUGAAACUCAAAGGAAUUGACGGGGGCCCGCACAAGCGGUGGAGCAUGUGGUUUAAUUCGAAGCUACGCGAAGAACCUUACCAGGUCUUGACAUCUAGCGCCAAUCCUAGAGAUAGGACGUUCCCUUCGGGGACGCUAAGACAGGUGGUGCAUGGUUGUCGUCAGCUCGUGUCGUGAGAUGUUGGGUUAAGUCCCGCAACGAGCGCAACCCUUAUGAUUAGUUGCCAGCAUUUAGUUGGGCACUCUAAUCAGACUGCCGGUGACAAACC